rnacentral:rRNA from 1 species
CCUACGGGAGGCAGCAGUGAGGAAUAUUGGUCAAUGGGCGCGAGCCUGAACCAGCCAAGUAGCGUGAAGGAUGACUGCCCUACGGGUUGUAAACUUCUUUUAUACAGGAAUAAAGUGAGGCACGUGUGCCUUUUUGUAUGUACUUUAUGAAUAAGGAUCGGCUAACUCCGUGCCAGCAGCCGCGGUAAUACGGAGGAUCCGAGCGUUAUCCGGAUUUAUUGGGUUUAAAGGGAGCGUAGAUGGGCUUUUAAGUCAGUUGUGAAAGUUUGCGGCUCAACCGUGAAAUUGCAAUUGAUACUGGCAGCCUUGAGUACAGUUGAGGUAGGCGGAAUUCGUGGUGUAGCGGUGAAAUGCUUAGAUAUCACGAAGAACUCCGGUUGCGAAGGCAGCUUACUAAACUGCAACUGACAUUGAUGCUCGAAAGUGUGGGUAUCAAACAGGAUUAGAUACCCCAGUAGUC